UUGAAAUUUUAUAUGUAUAGUCUUUCUUAUAAUAUGAUAAACAAGGACUAGGUAGCGCAGAUGGCAAAUAAAGUGGGUAAUUAAUUACUACAAAGUAACCGUCCGAAGAUGCAAUGCCUCGGUUUGUUUUCUCCUUGUUCAUAUACGAAUUUAUUCGCACACGAAUUUAUAACGCUUGACGUUUUCUCCUAACUUGCAUAUGAAGUUUAGGACAUAUUUGCUCGCUGCACAUGAGACAUUUUAAGAAAAACUGAAACUUAAAAUAUCUUUGGGCUUCGAAAGUGUAUUAAAUUGUGUCGAUGUUUGUUUAAAAAUUCAUAAAAAUAAAUAUUUUCAGAUGCCUGGUGAUCACACGGUGCAGGUCUUUUAUGAACUAAUUCUUUUUAAUGCAUUUUUUUCUAUAUUUUUUAAGUAAUUGCAUAGUAGUGAUGUCAAGUUUCAUUGCGUGGCUGUUUAUGGUUUUUGUAUGAUUUUAAAACAAUUGAAUAACAGCAAUUUGCAACAGUCGCAAGUGAACGUAAGCAGUAUUUGUACUCAGGAAAAUAUUUCAAGUUGUGGUUUCAUUACCUAAAACGCCAAUGUAACAACGAACAAAUCCCUGCGACAUUUUGUCAUGUUAUCCUUGGAAAUUAUGGGAAUUUUAAGAAAUUGCUUUCAACAAUCUGUAGCUGUUAAGGUUGCUUUAUAUGAAAAUUUACAACGUGUCGUAUCGAUCUAACCAAUAAGCUAGUCCCUUAUCUUCCUUAUCUAUUGAUUAUUAUUUUCGAAUCAACGUCUGAGUAUGUUUGCAAUCAGUUUAAGGCGAAAUUUGAAAAUAUCACAAAAGCAACGGACGAUCAGAGAAAUGAGUAGCUCGAUUGACGCAUCCAUGCAGAAGAUUUUGAAUAAAGAAAUGAAGCUUGGAAAUAUGGUCAGUGAGUUUUGACCUAUUUUCAUAGGGCAGAAGGGCCACGAAGAGCAAAACGUAAAAUCUAGCUGUUUCGAUUCUAAUAAGCGAAUGUGGUAGCUUGGUGUCCACAUCACAGAUGAAUACUGCCGUAUUAGUCAAACAAAGGCAAUGUGGAAACGUUUAGAAUCAAAGAUAACCCCCUAGUUAUUAAAUGUGGUUAAAUUUUAUAGCUUUUCGCUUGUAAACCAUAUAUCGCAAAAAUAAAUGGUUGAUAGCAGGAUGAAGGGCUCGUUAUUCCAAUGAAAAUUUAAAAAUAUCAUAAAAGAGAAGGAACCAAGGAAGCACCACCAUUGUAACCAUAAUCACCAUUGAACUACGUGUAAUGAGCAAUACUUUUUUCGUAACAGAAGAACGUUUAUUAACAUAUUAGAUCUUCAACUAUUCUUUGUCGCGAUCAUUCCUACUCAAAAUGAGAUCAAGUUCCAUCU